rnacentral:lncRNA from 1 species
CUCGGCGUCCCACGCUGCUCCCCUCCCCCACUGUCGCGAAGCUCCCGCCCAAGCCGACCACGUGCCGCGAGCCCGGCGGGGAGAGCCCACUCCCGCGCCCCUUCCGGGCCCACUACCCCGCCGGGCUGUGGCCCAUCGCCCCAGUGCCUGAUUGGCAUCCUCUGCUUCUGCAGAAAACAUGGCUACCAACAGCUUCUGUAUCCACCUGCGGAGGAGACUGACUGCUCUGUUAUUCCCCCAGCAUCUGUGAAGAGGCUCUGACUGGCUAAAGUGAAGGAGUCUGUAGCUUUAGGGGAAGACAGAGCCACAAGAUGGAAGGAGCUUGGAUGUCUGAACUAUUCCAUGGAGAAAAGCUGCAGCCAACGAAGAACACCUGCAAUGGACUCUUAACCUGGGGGUGACGACAACCACUGAAAUAUGCUGCAUCUUAGUCCAGGGAUUUUUAAAGUGUGGUUCCUGGAAGAGCUGGAUCAGAGUCAUCUGUGUUGAUGGUUUAACAUAAAGAUUUUCGAGCCCCAAGACUCAAGUAGGACAAGGAAUUUGAAUUUUUAAGCAGCUCACCUGACUUGUCUGUCCUCUAAUGUCUGAAGACAUCUGACCUCUGCUCUUUCAGUAAAAGCAACAAUGGUUUUAUGAGCAUUGUCGUCACAUCUCUCCACUCAAGGGAUCCUUCUCAUUUCUCCCAGCUGAGGUCACCCACAGCUGCUGCUUCUAACUGCUGGCUUCCAGCCUGCUGUCUGCCAGCUGGCUCUACCCUCUCCUAUAACACGGCAGAGAGUAGCUGUGGUCUCCUGCGUGCUCACCCUCUGCUCCCUUGGUCCUGCUCCAUGCUUUGGUCCUGCACUUAAAUUUUACAAGCAUACUCUCUUUCUCUUAAGAUGAAGGAGCUGAGGCUGGAGAAGUUAAGAGACCCCUGCUAGAUAGGAAGGCACGUGAGAAGUAUACUGCUCUGUCUCCUGUGGAGUAAAAAGACUUUGGCGUUCUCAGAAGAAAACCAAAUGAGAUCACACGAAUGAGACUGCUGGUAAAUGCCAUUUACAGAAAGCAUUCUGCAUAAUAAAACGAUUUCAAAGUCUCAUAAGAGAAGCUAACAUAACUUCCCUUAAUCAAUCUAGUCUUCAUGAGCUCUACACAAAUAGUCCCAUACCAAGGUUUUCCUGUAUGUCUAUCCAUUUAUAG